rnacentral:rRNA from 1 species
GACGAACGCUGGCGGCGUGCCUAAUACAUGCAAGUUGAGCGCUGAAGGUUGGUACUUGUCCCAACUGGAUGAGCAGCAAACGGGUGAGUAACGCGUGGGGAAUCUGCCUUUGAGCGGGGGACAACAUUUGGAAACGAAUGCUAAUACCGCAUAAAAACUUUAAACACAAGUUUUAAGUUUGAAAGAUGCAAUUGCAUCACUCAAAGAUGAUCCCGCGUUGUAUUAGCUAGUUGGUGAGGUAAAGGCUCACCAAGGCGAUGAUACAUAGCCGACCUGAGAGGGUGAUCGGCCACAUUGGGACUGAGACACGGCCCAAACUACUACGGGAGGCAGCAGUAGGGAAUCUUCGGCAAUGGACGAAAGUCUGACCGAGCAACGCCGCGUGAGUGAAGAAGGGUGUCGGAUCGUAAAACUCUGUUGGUAGAGAAGAACGUUGGUGAGAGUGGAAAGCUCAUCAAGUGACGGUAACUACCCAGAAAGGGACGGCUAACUACGUG